CCAAAGUGCGUGAGGUGAUCAGUACAAGGGAGACUAAGGAAAGGUUGAGGAUUUGGGGAAAAAAACAGUUUAUUGAAAAGCCACACCCAGAAAAAGUUGCAACAGGUCAUGAGUUUAUCGAAACAUUCUGAACGGGAGGAAGAAACGAACUUUGUUAAAACUACCUCUAAGUGAAAUCGAGGAAAGUGUGGCAAUACAGCAAAAAUUCAAUGAAGAAAAUGAUGCUAAUUAAAGUAAAAAAAAUAGCAAUUAAGUUUAGCAAUAAAGUUACGCAUUAUAAGUAAUGUGUAAGGUCAAUUUUGCAUUUCAAUGUAGCCUGUCUAGAGGAAAGGUUAUGUUAAGCGGUAGCUCAGGAAAUGAAAACCUUCCAGCCUCUUUGACCUUGAAGAUGGGGAAAUUGAGUUACAAGCUUGGCCAUGGAAUGAAUGAAUUAAACUCGUAUGUCAAGGUACCACUGUAUCACUAUCUGCAUUUUACUGAUGAAGAAACUGAGACUAAACCUCUACAUAGUUUCCAGGAGAGAGGCAGACCAACUAUGCCAGAUGCCAUUUCACAGGAGGCAAGGGCAUGAAGACCAUUCUACUUCCUAGGAUGCUUGGAGUAGGGUGAUUAAGUAGAAAUUACUACUAAAAGUGGUGUGCCAAGUUUUUCUCUGAUGUGCUGCCAGGGAAGGGGUGGUGAUUCCUGAGAGGAGAUAGGUGGGGGGGAGUGUAUGCCCUGAUCUGUGCUAAUUCCUAAUUCUUGUAAAUAUCAGUUGGGAUGGGGCACUGUGCACUGACCAUCAAUUCCUCAAACAAAGAGCUUAUGGCAGCUUUCAAAAGAACAAAUUUUCUUACCUUUUCAGACUAUUCUCUUUUUUUUACUGUAAAAAGAGAGUUGAAUUAGAUAAUUUAUGACAUCUUCCUAAUUUAAUGUUUUCCUAGUUAAUGUUGGGUUUGACUCUUCUAUGAAUACUCUCUGACCCACUGAAACUUGACUUUCAUACUAUUUCUUGAACAAGAUACUCCGUCUCUCAACUCUGUAUAUUUUUACUUGCUGUCUUCCAUGCCUUGAAUGUCUUACCUUCUUCUGGCUUCUUUGGCUUCCUUCAAGUUUCAGUUAAAAUCCUAUAUUCAAGAAACCUUUCCCAAUCUCCUUUAAUGCUAGUGCCUUUUUCUCUGAAGUUUUCUCCGGUUUGUAUUCUAUAUAUCAUGUUUGUACAAAGUCAUUUGCAUGUUGUCUCCCUAUUAGAUUAUGAGCUCUUUGAUAAUUGGGAUUCCUUUUUUUUUUGCCUUUUCCCCAGUAUUUAGCACAGUGCUUAAUAAAUGCUUAUUAUUAUUUUAAAAACUUUUUUGU
rnacentral:lncRNA from 1 species